ACGCUCGACACCUACGGGAGCCAGCAGUGGGGGAUAUUGCACAAUGGGGGAAACCCUGAUGCAGCGACGCCGCGUGGAGGAAGAAGGUUUUCGGAUUGUAAACUCCUGUCGUACGGGACGAUAAUGACGGUACCGUACAAGAAAGCCACGGCUAACUACGUGCCAGCAGCCGCGGUAAUCUGAGCGGGCUGGCAAGGC
rnacentral:rRNA from 1 species